UGACCUAACGCCAAAAUCCCCAUCUGACCCACCGUUUUGGAAGAACAAAUGAGCAUCAGCGAAAAUAAUACAAAGAAAAGGAUAAGGGGCAGCGCCGUCUUCUCUGAAAAAGCUAAAAAAAACGGCUGAACCUUUGAUUCUCGAACCUAACGCCUCUGACCCAUUUUCCAUAUUUGGACCUUUACCUUUAUUCUUCUUUGAAUACACAACAUACACAUAGAUACAGUAGAGGUUAAAAAACAAAGAAAACAAAUAAAAUUCCAUGUAAAUCAAAUCCAAAAAAAAACACAUAUAGAGAUCUUGUUUUUUUUUCUUCUCGAUUUUGGACUUUGGCUCUCUAAGAAUGGAUUUCAGUCUGAGUUGGGGUGUUGUUCGAGCUUUGCUCUUGGUUCGUGGAUCCUGACCGCGAAUUCAGUUGCGGAUCGCUGACUCGCGGUUCCGAUUUUUGUUCGUGUCGUCGGAUCUGCUUGUAGCUUUUGGAUCUUUCACUAAUUUUAAGAAGCUCAUCUGAGAUUAAGGUGCAGGGAGCUGAGUUUAGCAUUGUUAUUGGACAGAUUUCUAUAUGGGGCCUGCGUUUCAUGCCCGCAAGUGUAGGUAGAUAGGCUGACGGUCUCCCUUCUUAGGAUCCUUGCUCAGCGAGAGUUGGUGUGCUCCAUUUGAUCCAGAGCUUCUAUUAGGUUUUGGUACUAUACUUUUGUAUACAUAUAUAGGUAUGACUGGGCUUAGUCCCGUCCUUUAUACAGUUGUACACUCUAUUAGAAGUUUGUAGUCAGUCAUGUAUAGUUGGAUAGUAUGUGGCCUUGUCGGCUCGCCCUAUCGUAUACUGUAUACAUAUGUACAUAUCUCUUUUGGGCAUGUUUUACCGCGUAUAUUAUUCACAUGAAUCGGUAGUUU